rnacentral:rRNA from 1 species
GAUGAACGCUGGCGGCGUGCCUAACACAUGCAAGUCGAGCGAUCUUCUUCGGAAGAGAGCGGCGGACGGGUGAGUAACGCGUGGGUAACCUGCCUCAUACACAUGGAUAACAUACCGAAAGGUAUGCUAAUACAAGAUGAUAUAAGAGAUUCGCAUGGAUUUCUUAUCAAAGCUUUUGCGGUAUGAGAUGGACCCGCGUCUGAUUAGCUAGUUGGUAAGGUAACGGCCUACCAAGUCGACGAUCAGUAGCCGGACUGAGAGGUUCAAAGGCCACAUUGGGACUGAGAUACGGCCCAGACUCCUACGGAGGCAGCAGUCGGGAAUAUUGCGCAAUGGAGGAAACUCUGACGCAGUGACGCCGCGUAUAGGAAGAAGGUUUUCGGAUUGUAAACUAUUGUCUGCAGGGAAGAAACAAGACUGUACCUGCAAAGAAAGCUCCGGCUAACUACGUGCCAGCAGCCGCAGUAACAC